UACGAAGGGGGCUAGCGUUGCUCGGAAUCACUGGGCGUAAAGCGCACGUAGGCGGACUCUUAAGUCGGUGGUGAAAUCCUGGAGCUCAACUCCAGAACUGCCUUCGAUACUGGGAGUCUCGAGUCCGGGAGAGGUGAGUGGAACUGCGAGUGUAGAGGUGAAAUUCGUAGAUAUUCGCAAGAACACCAGUGGCGAAGGCGGCUCACUGGCCCGGAACUGACGCUGAGGUGCGAAAGCGUGGGGAGCAAACAGG
rnacentral:rRNA from 1 species